rnacentral:rRNA from 1 species
AGUUUUGAGCUAAAUAUAUUAUAAUAUUAGUUAUUUAUAAAGGUGUUGUAAAACCUUAUUAAAAAUUAUAUUUAGGGGUGAUAGGCUUUUCAAAAACUAAGAUAUCUUGAAUCUAAUUAAAAGUAUGUAGUACAUUCGACACAACUAUUAAGUGAUUAGGCUUUAUAGAAUUAUUAACUUAUAAAGAUUUUAUUUACUAUAAUUUAAUAAUUAAGUAUGUAAAUAUAUUAAUAUAUAUAUAUUAUAAUUUAUAAAAAGUAAUUAGAUAAAUUAAAGUUCAUAAAUUUUGUAAUAAUGUUAAUAUUAGUAUUAAGUUUAUAUUUAUAUGAUGAACUCGGCAAAAAUGCUUCUCAACUGUUUAUCAAAAACAUAACUAUGUGAAUUAAUACAUAGCGGUUUCUGCUCAA